rnacentral:rRNA from 1 species
GAUCAUGGCUCAGGACGAACGCUGGCGGCGUGCCUAAUACAUGCAAGUAGAACGCUGAAGAGAGGAGCUUGCUCUUCUUGGAUGAGUUGCGAACGGGUGAGUAACGCGUAGGUAACCUGCCUUGUAGCGGGGGAUAACUAUUGGAAACGACUGCUAAUACCGCAUAAGCCCACGGGUCGGCAUCGACCUGAGGGAAAAGGAGUAAUCCGCUUUGAGAUGGCCUCGCGUCCGAUUAG